rnacentral:rRNA from 1 species
AACGCGAAGAACCUUACCGGGGUUUGACAUCAUAGUGAAGUAUGCAGAGAUGUAUGCGCCUUUCGGGGCGCUAUGACAGGUGCUGCAUGGCUGUCGUCAGCUCGUGUCGUGAGAUGUUGGGUUAAGUCCCGCAACGAGCGCAACCCUUGCCCCUAGUUGCCAGCAGGUAAAGCUGGGGACUCUAGGGGGACAGUCGGCGAUAAGCCGGAGGAAGGUGGGGAUGACGUCAAGUCCUCAUGGCCCUUACAUCCCGGGCUACACACGUGCUACAAUGGCUGGUACAACGGGGAGCGAUACUGCGAAGUGGAGCGAAUCCCUAAAAACCGGUCUCAGUUCGGAUUGCAGUCUGCAACUCGACUGCAUGAAGUCGGAAUCGCUAGUAAUCGCG